rnacentral:rRNA from 1 species
GACGAACGCUGGCGGCGUGCUUAACACAUGCAAGUCGAACGGAAAGGCCCCUUUGGGGGUACUCGAGUGGCGAACGGGUGAGUAACACGUGAGUAACCUGCCCUUGACUUCGGGAUAACUUCAGGAAACUGGGGCUAAUACCGGAUAGGAAUCCUUGCUGCAUGGUGGGGGUUGGAAAGCUUCGGCGGGUUUGGAUGGACUCGCGGCUUAUUAGCUUGUUGGUGGGGUAGUGGCUUACCAAGGCUUUGACGGGUAGCCGGCCUGAGAGGGCGACCGGCCACAUUGGGACUGAGAUGCGGCCCAGACGCCUACGGGAGGCAGCAGUGGGGAAGAUUGCACAAUGGGCGGAAGCCUGAUGCAGCAACGCCGCGUGCGGGAUGACGGCCUUCGGGUUGUAAACCGCUUUCAGCAGGGGCGAAGCUUGUGGUGACGGUACCUGCAGAAGAAGCACCGGCUAACUACGUG